UACCCUCGGGUGGGGGAUAACCUCGGGAAACUGAGGCUAAUACCCCAUAGGCCUCGGAUACUGGAAGGUUCCGAGACCGAAAGCUCCGGCGCCCGAGGAUGGGUCUGCGGCCUAUCAGGUAGUUGGUGGUGUAAAGGACCACCAAGCCUACGACGGGUACGUGCCCUGAGAGGGGGAGCCCGGAGAUGGACUCUGAGACACGAGUCCAGGCCCUACGGGGCGCAGCAGGCGCGAAACCUUCGCAAUGCGCGAAAGCGCGACGAGGGGAGCCCGAGUGCCCUUCCUUUCGGGAGGGCUUUUCUGGAGCCUAAAAAGCUCCAGGAAUAAGGGCUGGGCAAGACGGGUGCCAGCCGCCGCGGUAAUACCCGCAGCUCGAGUGGUGGCCACUAUUAUUGAGCCUAAAGCGUCUGUAGCCGGACCCGUAAAUCCCUGGGUAAAUCCUGGCGCUCAACGUCAGGAAUUCCGGGGAGACUGCGGGUCUUGGGACCGGGAGAGGCCGGAGGUACUCCCGGGGUAGGGGUAAAAUCCUGUAAUCCCGGGGGGACCACCUGUGGCGAAAGCGUCCGGCUUGAACGGCUCCGACGGUGAGGGACGAAGGCCAGGGGAGCAAACCGGAUUAGAUACCCGGGUA
rnacentral:rRNA from 1 species